UGGAGUUUGUCCAUGAUUCUAACCUGAGGGAUCAUUCUGCUGUGGUGUAGUAGUUGGUGUUGAAGAACUCAGCACACCAGCUCUGCUGUCUGUAGUCAGGUGAAAUCCCUGGUCUGCUGCACUUUGUACAGAUGAAGAAACCUGACCAGGUGCAUUGACAGCCAAUGAAACCUGACCAGGUGCAUUGGCAGCCAAUGCAUUGGCUACCAAUGCAUUUAUCUGUGCCACUAAAGGGUGAGCACCAGCAACACCGCCUACAGAAGCUUGUGAAACAGCAGAUGUUGCAUUUGGUUGGGCUCCCACUGCUGUCUGAGAACCUUGAGAGGAGG
rnacentral:lncRNA from 1 species